AUAACAUCCAAAGACAAGACUGGAACAAGAAACAGCUGGUGCAAUAGUAUUGAACAGAGGCAGCACAUUGAUUCUUGACUGCUGGGAAUUACCAGCUGGCACAGUGGCAUCAGCUUGGUUGGAAUGAGAACAACAUGUAGCUAUAGGCAAUGUCAUCAUCCUUUC